rnacentral:lncRNA from 1 species
GUUUCUCCAAUGAAAUAAAUGAUUUUCAAAGAAAUUGAGAGCUUCCUUGCAGACUGUAAGUGUAGCGUUCCAGCAGGACAAUAUCUAUGCUAUCAAAAGAAAAACUAAACUGAAAGCAACAUAUAUUCUCAUUUCACCGUGAAUGAAAAAUAAAACAUAGUUCCCUCCUUUCAUCUUAAUGCAACAGUAGUUUUAAAAGAAAGAAUAAAAUAAAGUGUUUUAUCCAUUCUCCAUAACGAAAACCGUGAACAACAUGAGCUCUCCUCUCCCAAAGAAAAAUGUCAACCAGCAAAAAGAAUGUCCCCUAGUAAGUGUGUCGGCUGUCCUAGGUAUCCCCCUAGGUUUUUGUGUGACCUACUUCCUACUCUGGGCUCCUACUGCCAGUGUGGACUGCUCAUGGGCUGCUGCUGAAUGAAGAAAGAAAACGUUCUGCAAUUUGCUUGCUGCACGCCCCCAAGUUGCAGCUGCUGCCAUACACGUAUGAAGGCUGGAUGCUUUUGUUGGUGCUGGACCGUGAACUAAGCAUGGAUAUGGAGAUGAUGGGCUGCUUUGUUGAUGCUUGGACGUUGCUGGACUUGGAGCUGGAUGUGUCCAUGAUGCUAAAGUGAUUCAGCUAUAAAAUCUUCUGUUGGAUGCGUGACUAAUGCAGCCCGUGUGGACCUCCAAUGCUGCAACACUUUGCUAAAUGCACCUCCCGCUUAAAGCUUGCACCGUGUUGUGCUGAUGGAUGAGCAUGCUGAACCGUGGUGAAGGCUGGGCUUCUUCUUUACUCGGGUGGCAGCUGGAUGUGAGCUUCUAUUUGCUGAUGGAUGACCAACUUACUACAGUCUCACCACCAAACAUGGCUAGCUUGAAAAGCAACUAAAUAGAAACAUUUCUUGCACCUAUCUGUUGAUACUAAUUAUCAUUUGGGCAAUUAAAGAGUGCAUUGGUACCCCUAAGUCUAAAAAACCAAGACUUUCAAAA